GGCAACUUGGCAUUAAAACUUAUUUCUCUUCAACCUCGCCGCAUUCACUCUGGAAUAAAAGUAUUAGAGAAGACAAGGUCCUUACUCAGGUUGUGACUGUUAAGAUGAUUUUCUUCCUCAUUUCCCCACCACCACUCGUCCUUUCCCCUGCUUUCUCAUCUUAUGUAUCUUGGAGAGAGCACAGCAAAUCUAAAACUGAUGGCCUCGCUUCUUUUGCUUUUUUGGCUGAGUGCAGGCUCAAUACCUGCACAAGAGGGGAGCUGGAUCAGCUUGGAAAAAAAAACAAAAAGGCUCCUGCCAAAGUAAUAAUCAUAAUAUUAGCACAGAGAUGUAUGGAGACAUUUCUAGCAACCAGAGCAAAUGCUGCCCACUCUCUCCCCUCCUUCUGUGACCGCAUGACUUUUUAGCUUGCUGUUGGCUACCAAAUUAUCUGCUGCCCUUAGUCACCUCUCAGUGCUGCUAACUCCAUUUGUUCCUUGGCAUUGUGGUGGCAGAGACAUUUAGAGAGAUGUGGAUAAAUCAGCCUGCUACACCCUAAAACUCUGUGUGUUUGUACUUAUCUGAGCACAGUAUUCCUGCAAACUUGAAAAGUACUUCAAGAGCCUGACACAGCUUUCUUGAUCUUGAUCUCAUUCAUUCUGAGGGAGGAGAGGAAAACGAGUGAGAGAGGGGAAUGCUGCUCUUGGCAGAAGAUACAGGCAAUUGGCUGCUUUAUGGCUUUGCCUUGAUGUAUGUUUAAAAAACAUCCUAAAAUCUGGCACAGAGAGAUUUUCCCACUUGUUUUAUUUCUAAAUAUUCUUCAAACGCUUUCAUGGGAUAUAGAAUGUUGCUUUGAUCAGGCAAACAUACUUUGUGCUGAAGUUUCUACUUAAUACUGACUUCAAUUCAUAUUCUGCCAAUUUUUUAAUUUCAGAUUUGAUUUCAAAUUUUCUCUAGCUUAUAGACAACAGAAAAAUACGACAAUUUCCCCUGUGGAUCAUGUUACUUUGCUGAUGUGAGCUGAAGUUUCAGAAGGUGGGGAAAAAAGUAAUGAAGAAAAUACUAUCAAAUCUGCCGCUUCUGCAAAAUGCUGGUAAACUACUGACAUUGGCUCCUGUGGGACACAGAGAUCAUCCUUCUACAAUGUGUGAAGACCUUCCAUUUUGUGCUCAGGGCACUGAAAGAUUCCUCAUCAUUUACCAGGACAGCAGUUGCAUGCUUCCUCAGUCUGAAGGAAUUAAACAGCCACACUUACCGUGAGGAAGCGUAGUUUUGUAGGCAACUCGGAGGAGAUCAGAGCCAUGCUACUGAAGCCUUUGUUUCAGAUUAAUUGGUAAAGGCUCCUGGACUGUCUCUUUUUCAGGUAAGUUCUACUUCCAAAUAUCAAACUGUGUUUGUGUAUGUGUGGCUGUGUACCUGUAACCACUCUGUACUGCAUGUAAACGUCUCUAGUUCCAUUUCGGGUAUAUGCAGGCUGAUUGGCAAAGUUUUGUCAUGGCAAUUUAAUGAUCAAAACCUGCCAUGCCUAAGCACUGUUC